UACGUAGGGUGCGAGCGUUAAUCGGAAUUACUGGGCGUAAAGCGUGCGUAGGCGGUUCGUUAAGUGCGUCGUGAAAGCCCCGGGCUCAACCUGGGAAUGGCGAUGGAAACUGGCGGGCUGGAGUAUGGCAGAGGGGGGUGGAAUUCCGCGUGUAGCAGUGAAAUGCGUAGAUAUCAAGUGGAACACCAGUGGCGAAGGCGGCUUCCUGGACCGACACUGACGCUGAGGCGCGAAAGCUAGGGGAGCAAACGGG
rnacentral:rRNA from 1 species